CGGAAGACUGUCAGUUUUAACUGAACGUGUAAAACAGGCUUUACUCUGGAGGUCGACGAUGCAUCAAGGAAUGGCGCAGACAGUGAGCACGUCUCUCGUACCACGACGACAAAACAACUGAACGUCCACUGAAUUGCGAGGAUCUGAUAGACCUCGACGAACAAGGUUCGACAACUCAUUUCUCCUGUCGGUAUUAUGUAGGAAAAAAAUAAUAAAACAACCAAAAAUAGAAAAA